AUAAGACUUUAAAAAAAAAUUAUGCUGUUAUCCCUAAGGUAAUUAAUUUUAUUAGUUUAAAUUUUAAGAUUUUUUUUCAAUAAUUAUUGUUUAUUUUAAAAAAAAUUUGUUAAAUUUUUUUAUUACCCCAAUAAAAUUUAUUUAAAAAUUAUUUUAGAUUAAAUUUAAUUUUUUAAUAAAUAAAAUUCUAUAGGGUCUUGUCGUCUUUUUUAUAAAUUUAAGUUUUUUUACUUAAAUAAAAAUUUAAAAUUAUUUUAUUUAUAAAGUUUAUACCUCAUGAAAUCGUUCAUUCAAGGUUUUAAUUAGAAACCAAAUUAUUAUGCUACCUUUGUACAGUUAUUGAUUCUGCAGCCAUUUAA
rnacentral:rRNA from 1 species